rnacentral:tRNA from 1 species
CAGGGUGUAGCUCAGCCUGAUCAGAGCACGCGGUUCGGAGCCGCGAGGCCACUGGUUUGAAUCCAGUCGCCCUGACCA